GCCAGGUGUGGUGGUGCAUGCCUGUAAUCCCAGUGGCUCUGGAGGCUGAGGCAAGAGGAUCAAGAGUUCAAAGCCAGCUUCAGCAAUGGUGAGGUGCUAAGCAACUCAGUGAGACCCUGUCUCUA
rnacentral:sRNA from 1 species